rnacentral:rRNA from 1 species
GACGAACGCUGGCGGCGUGCUUAACACAUGCAAGUCGAGCGGUAAGGCCCUUUCGGGGGUACACGAGCGGCGAACGGGUGAGUAACACGUGGGUGACCUGCCCUCAGCUCUGGGAUAAGCCUGGGGAACCGGGUCUAAUACCGGAUAUGACUCCAUGACGCAUGUUGUGGGGUGGAAAGCCUUGUGCGGCUGAGGAUGGGCCCGCGGCCUAUCAGCUUGUUGGUGGGGNGAUGGCCUACCAAGGCGACGACGGGUAGCCGGCCUGAGAGGGCGACCGGCCACACUGGGACUGAGACACGGCCCAGACUCCUACGGGAGGCAGCAGUGGGGAAUCUUGCGCAAUGGGCGAAAGCCUGACGCAGCGACGCCGCGUGAGGGAUGACGGCCU